GUGGGGAAUAUUGCGCAAUGGGCGAAAGCCUGACGCAGCGACGCCGCGUGGGGGAUGAAGGCCUUCGGGUUGUAAACCCCUGUCGGAGGGGACGAACGAGUGAAUGGCUAAUAUCCAUUUGCUCUGACGGUACCUUCUAAGGAAGCACCGGCUAACUCUGUGCCAGCAGCCGCGGUAAGACAGAGGGUGCAAGCGUUGUUCGGAAUUACUGGGCGUAAAGGGCGCGUAGGCCGUUGGGAAAGUCUGAUGUGAAAUCCCUCGUUUCAAGCGAGGAACUGCAUCGGAAACUCCCCGACUUGAGUCUCGGAGAGGGAAGCGGAAUUCCUGGUGUAGAGGUGAAAUUCGUAGAGAUCAGGAGGAACACCCGUGGCGAAGGCGGCUUCCUGGACGAUGACUGACGCUGAGGCGCGAAAGCGUGGGGAUCAAACAGGAUUAGAUACCCCUGUAGUCC
rnacentral:rRNA from 1 species